GCCUAGGUGGCUCAGUCAAUUGAGCAUCUGACUUCGACUCAGGUCAUGAUCUCACGGUUCGUGGGUUCAAGCCCUGCAUCAGGCU
rnacentral:tRNA from 1 species